GACAGAGGAUGCAAGCGUUAUCCGGAAUCAUUGGGCGUAAAGGGUCCUGAGGUGGUUUGCUAAGUCUACUGUGAAAGAUCAGGGCUCAACCCUGAAGAUGCGGUGGAAACUGGCAGGCUAGAAUACGGUAGGGGCAGGGGGAAUUCCCGGUGUAGCGGUGAAAUGCAUAGAUAUCGGGAAGAACACCAAAGGCGAAGGCACCCUGCUGGGCCGAUAUUGACACUGACAGACGAAAGCUAGGGGAGCGAAUGGG
rnacentral:rRNA from 1 species